UACGGAGGAUGCGAGCGUUAUCCGGAUUUAUUGGGUUUAAAGGGUGCGUAGGUGGAUUGGUAAGUCAGUGGUGAAAGUUUGCAGCUUAACUGUAAAAUUGCCGUUGAAACUGCCGGUCUUGAGUGCAAAUGAGGUAGGCGGAAUGCGUCGUGUAGCGGUGAAAUGCUUAGAUAUGACGCAGAACUCCGAUUGCGAAGGCAGCUUACUGGGAUGCAACUGACACUGAGGCACGAAAGCGUGGGUAUCAAACAGGAUUAGA
rnacentral:rRNA from 1 species